CAGUGAUCCCUGGGAAAGUCUUUACUAAAAGAGUAUAUCACAGAGAGGUAGUACAGUGGUCAGGAGCCCCUCUCAUAGACAAGAAACUAAGGUCAGAGAGGUUAAAUAGCUUGCUUGGAUCUGGAGUCUUCUGACUCCAAGUCCAACAUUUUCUACUCCACCUUAACUGCUGCCCCCUCAUCCCCAAGUGCAGAGUAGGUUGGAGAGCAAAGAGUAACAAAGGCAUGGAGGUGAGAAUGAGGAGCAAUAUGUCAGGUUGCAGAGACACUGAGUAUUCAGUUUUACUUUGUGUUGUCUUACUUUGGGAAAGGUUGUUAGUCUUUGGGAAAGGAAUGGAAAUGAAUUUUUUAAAAUAUGCAGUGAAUUGGCAGGAGUCAUUUGCCCCUUUCUCUCCCUGGCCCAUGUAUAUCCUUGACUCUAGUGAUUUCCCUGCUGAAGGAGAGUUGGCCUGUUGUGUUUGUUGCUGUAUCCUCCAGAGCUCAGAACAAUACUUGCCAAGUAAUAGGUGCUCAAUAAAUCUUGAAUGAGUGAAUACAACUUCAGGAGCAUAGUAGAUGAACUUGGCAUGCUUUUAAAAAAUAAAAUCUAGGCCGGGCGCGGUGGCUAACGCCUGUAAUCCCAGCACUGUAGGAGGCUGAGGUGGGUGGAUCACCUGAGGUCAGGAGUUUGAGACCAGCCUGGGCUAUUUAAAUUUAAAUUAAGUAAAAUUAAGUAAAAAGAAAAAUUCAGUUGGUAAGUCUCACCAGCCACAUUUCAAGUGCUCAAUAGUAUGUGUUGGUAGCGUAUCAGUGCUAAAUACUGUGCUGGUGCUAAUGUUACAAUCAAGGCCAAGGCCGACAUGAUGUUUCUGUCAAAAUCGCAACCUCUUGAGGGCGAGGGUCGUCUCUUAACAUUCCUUUGUGUCUCUCUCACUGCCUAGCACAGUGGUAGAAACAUUAAAGGUCGUCAAUAAAUACUCCAACACCCCUGACGUCAAAGAAGGCCUGUGGGUUCGAGGGGACAGUAGAGACUCUGUUUCUGCACUGUACAAAUGACUGCCUGAUGUUUUUGUUCCCACUUUUUUUUUCUUGGCCUCCUUUCCAGGAAAUGGACUGGAGGAGCUGGCAAUUGAUUAAAAAUAGGCUUCGUGUGA
rnacentral:lncRNA from 1 species